ACCAGUCAUAAUUUAGAACAAGAAUUUGCCUUCUUUACAGCAGUGAGUACGUACGUAACUAACGUACGAAAAUUAAAUGGUAGCUGGCUUCUCUGCAGAUGUAUGUCCAUCAAAUUAUAUAUACAACAUAACCUACAAUAUAUGUUAUAAGGCCUACCUUAACGAUACGGACAUUACAACCUGGAGCAAGGCCUUUGCUCGGUGUGAAGCAGACGGCGGAUAUCUGUUUCUUGUUAACUCUUUGGAAAGGUUUCAGAUGCUGGACGACCUCUUUAAAUCAGAGUUCGUACCAGCCAGACAAGUGUUUACUGGCGGUAACGAUAAGCUCAGUGAAGGAAAAUGGCAAUGGUUGGACGGAUCAACUACAUUUAAUUGGACUGGUACACAACCUAACGGUGGAACCUCAAAGAACUGUGUUGGACUACACACUAACGAAACUUUAACUAUGUUGAAUCUUGCCCUAUCAUGCAUUUCCGUUAUUAAUUUUAUUUGUGAAAUACCUAUACGGUUAUACGUAACCAAGUAAGUCGUUUAAGACUCAAACACAAAGGCCGAUUUAUUUAUAUUCAUGACUUAGAUUAUCAACAAAACUGUUUCUGUAAUUAGAGUUAUUGUCCAUGAUCACUGGUAGAAUAUCUGCCAGAUUUACGUAGUUGCUAUUUAUAUGCAUCUAAUUGCUUUUUAAUUGCAACUUUUGUUCUAAUUGAUGAUUGGCGCCAAUAGUGUCCUUUAAAUUAAUGUGAUGAAGAAUUUAUGAUAAGUUAGCUCAAUAUAACAUUGGUGUAACCCAACCCACUCCCUCACUGUAUUUCAAAUAUAUCUGAAAAAAGUUCUUUGAUGAACAGGUCGUGUUAAGAUCGAUUUAUUAACAUCAAAUUAUUAUUAUUCAGUGUCUUAAACGGCAUUUCACGAUACAAGUAAUCUUGACAAUACUUUACAAUCCCAACUGCGUUAAUUGUAAAUAACGUCUAAUAAAUCAGGAUAAGUAA